rnacentral:sRNA from 1 species
UGAAACAUUGAAAAUGGAAGCCUCCGAUC